AGAAAGACAAACUAUUUUAUGAAUUAAAAGAAGAUCUCGAGAGUGGUGAGAGUUAGACUAUCCACACUAUACCAACCCGUGGUCACUCAUCGGAUUCUCCAAGAUUUGCUUCAAAGCAGUCCGCUCAGAUCAAACCAAAAACCGUUCCUGCUUGUGGCUUGCCUUCAAUUUUCUAUCUUCCUCCUCCAAGUUUUCUCUUUUAUUUUCUUCUGAAAAAGGAAGAAAAUAGAGGAGGAGAGGGAGCUUAUAUUGCUUUGAAGAAGUUUGAUCUUUCAGGGAAGCUAAUAAAUCCGCCAAUUACCUCGCUCUCGCCUUAGUCUUGUUAAGUUCUUCAUCAGGAUUGUUCUUGCCUGGUUUUCUAGUUUGUUUUUUCAUUCCUCUUAUUACCCAAAAAGAAAAGAAGUUUGAUCUUUGAAGACGCCGUACGUUCAUAUGAGGUUUUCUCGUCAUUGAAUUUACAACAAAUAUUUCUGAAAAAAAAAAGAAUUUACAACAAAUAUUUUGACUCUGCUUAAGAAGUUGGGAGAAGCAUCCCUAUUCCAGUACUCCCAGUGAAGGAAAGGUAAAGUUAUUUUCAAUGGCGUGUCAAGACUUUGGAGUCAAUCUUGGUGCUGGAGUUGUGGCAAAUUUGGUGACGACAGUAGCGCGAGAAGCUCGCCAUUGUUAUAAAUUCAACAAGAUUGUUAAAGAUCUGGAAGUUGAACAAAACAAUUUAAGGUCAACAAGAGAAAGCAUGCAAGUCCAAGUUAGAAAAGCCAAAGCAAACACCUAUGAGCCUACAGAGGUCACUCGGGAGAAGUUGAAGAAAGUAGAAGAUCUCUUAGAAGAAGCAAAGAAGUUGAAAGGGAAAGCAGAAGCAAGCAAGAGCUGUUGUAAUGCCGUUUUGCCUAAUUGGAUAUGUCGAUAUAUUGUUGGUAAGAAAGUAGCAGGAGUGACUGAAGAAAUGAAGCAGCUCAAUGAAAACUGGGGACAAAAUCUAUUGUUUGCACAUCGUCAAUCUCUUCAACCCAUGCGUAUGUCAGAAGAUUUCAUUUUUUUUGAAAGCAGAGAAAAAGGUCUCGAGAGACUCUUAAUGGCGUUGAAAGAUGACGAGAAUACAAGGAUUGGGCUUCAUGGAAUGGGUGGUUGUGGUAAGACAUCCUUGUUAAGAGCAGUGCAGGAAUCAGUUAGGGACUUGAAGCUAUUUGAUAAAAUUGCCUUUGUCACAGUGUCUAAACGUCAAAAGACAACUAUUCAACAAGACAUCGCAAGCUGGUUAGAGUUGGAUUUUGGGACGGAGAUAGGUGGUGAAGACACUAGAGCUACUAGACUGUCCAUGGGGUUUGCAGGGGAUAAGAAGUAUCUCAUAAUCUUAGAUGAUGUGUGGGAAGUCCUUCAAUUUGAUAAAAUAGGGAUUCCUCUUGGUAAAAAUUGCAAAGUUCUUUGAGCACUCGAGGACAAAAUUUAUGUACCAUGAUGGAUUGCCAAGAAGCGAUUCAUCUAUCACUUUUGACGAAAGAAGAAGCUUGGGAUUUAUUCCAAAGGCACGCUGGUGUAAUAGCAGAUAGUGAUGUGGCACAAGAGAUCGCUGAUAAAUGUCAUGGAUUACCUAUUGCAAUUUAAGUUGUGGCUAGUAUUUUGAAGGAUCAACCUCUGAAUGUAUGGAAAGAUGCAUUAGCAACAUUGAAAGAUCACAGACAACCUCUAUGCAUUGAAGAAGGAUUGGAAGAUUUUUAUAAAUGUUUAGAAUUAAGUGUCAAUCGUUUGAAGGAUCAGGAGAAAUCCCUUUUCUUAUUAUGUGCUUUCCUAGCCAAAGAUUCAAAAAUUGCUCCUGAAGAUUUGAUCAAGAUUGCAUUUGGACUGGACAUAUUUGAUGAUGUUGACUCUUAUAGCAGAGCUAGAGACAAAGUGGAUAUAGCCAUUGAUAAAAUCAAAAAAUGCAGUUCGCUGUUACAAGUUGAAGGACAAAUUGUUGAAAUGCAUGACUUGGUGCGUGAUGUAGCCUUAUUGGUAGCAGAUAAAAAAACUCAUGUGAUUACUGGGCCUGGACAUAAUCUAAUGGCCUUCAUAGAAAAGGAUGAUUGGGAAGACACAAGAAGAUUGUCUUGCCGUGAUGUUAAUGAAUUCCCAAAUCAGCUAAACUGUCCAAAUCUUGAGAUCCUAUUCAUCUCUACUGGUGGUGGAUGCUACUCAGAACUCCCAACUACAUUCUUCAAGAAGACGAUAAAGCUCAAGGUACUGGUCAUAGUAAAUACAUUUAUAUGGAGAAGCCCAAAUCUAUUGUUGCCCCAAUCAGUUGAUGAGCUAAGAAAGCUUCGGACUCUCUGCUUGAGAGGAUGGAAAUUAAACAACAUAUCUAUUUUGGGAAAAUUGAAUAUGCUUGACACUGUUCAACUGUUAAACUGUGUGGUGCAAGAGUUACCUAACGAAUUAGCUGGAUUGAGGAAGUUAAAAUUUUUGGAAGUAUCAGGGAGCAGAAUAGGAGGCAAUCCUUUUGAAGUGCUAGCAAGAUGUUGUCAUUUGGAGGAGCUGUAUUUCAUUGAAAAUAAUGUUUCUGAAAUGGUUUCAAAUGAUCAAAUUGUCGUUGAAUUGUUUCACCAAAUUGGCCACUCUAAGAACUUGAAAAGAUAUCAUCUAGAAAUUGGAAGGUGCAUUGAUACUUUGAAGGAUGAUUCAACAUCAAAAUUCAUAUCUAUCAAUGAUUUUAAUGUCUCUAGUACAAAUGUUGAAGCAAUCCAGAAUUUGGCACAAAAACUGGAGGUACUUUUCUUGGAAAAGAUUAGAGGAGAUUAUAAAAGCCUCAUUCCUGAGAUGAUUCCAUUGGAAGGAGAAUGCAAGAUUGAGCUAACUGAAAUUCUACUAUUUGAUUUUAACAUAGAAUGCUUGAUCGACACCACAAAUCAACUAUAUGAGGAAAGCAUCUUGUUCCCCAAGUUGAUGAAACUGAAAAUUGAAGCCAUGAACAGCUUGGAAGCCUUGUGUCGUGGUCUAAUUCCUCCUGGCCUUUUUGAGAAUUUAAAGGAGCUAAUCAUAAUACAAUGUGGCCGAUUGGUAUCUAUAGGGCAGCUAAAAUUAUUUCAGCUCAAAGCCAUACAAUUGGAAGGUUGUCCAGAGUUGAUAUUUCUCUUCACAACGGCCACUGCUCAAAAAAUGGAAAUGUUAGAAGUGUUAAAAGUAAAAGAAUGUGAUAAAUUGAAGCAUAUAAUAGAUGGGAGAGAAGAUGACAUUGUUUCAACAACAGAGCCUGUGUUCCCAAAAAUAAAACAAGUCUGUAUCAAGGGAUGUGAACAUCUAGAAUGCAUACUACCAGCACUGUUUGCCAGUGGCCUUCCACAAUUGGAGAGUCUCGAAAUAGAAGAAGCUCGUGCGUUAAAAUAUGUAUUUGGCAAAUGGAAUUGUGAAGUAGGACAUCGAAGACAGAGCAUUGAACUCCCUGUUCUGAGAGUUAUGAAGCUCAUUCACUUGCCAAAUAUUACUGGUAUUUGCCCACAAUAUUGUGAUGUAACAUGCCCAUCCUUGGGUAAACCACAUGUAAUGGGUUGUCCACGAUGGCGUGGAAUGUCUGAAGUGAGACAGCAAGGCGAUGGCAAAGCUAAAAAGCAGGAUGAGUCGCUUUCAGUGCCGGGUGGUGAGGACUUGGGAACCAAUGUUCAGCAUGAUGCUGGGAAAAAUUUCAUGCUGGAAGCCUUCCAAUGUAUUUUUCGAUUCAACGCUCUUCUUACAAAUCUCAGAAAUGAAAAGGCCUACUUAAGAUUAACAAUACGAGAAAUAGAAACCCACUUUGCCUGCAUGGUUGAGCCUCCAAAAGACCUUCUGAAACAGCUGGCAAAGGCAGAGAACGUCAUAGAAAUGGCAGGGACGUUGGAAGACGUAGCAGAAGCAAGCCAGAGCCGUUGUGUUGGGGUUUUCCCUAACUGGUCACGUCGAUAUAUUGUAGGCAAGCAAUUAGGAAGGUUGACUCAAGAAGUUCGUCAUCUCUGUUGGAGUAUUGAACUUGUUACAUACUCAUUUCAAACCCGGGUUAGGAAUCCCCAAGGACUCCCCUUGGUAGAUGUAUGUUCCAAUAAGAGAGAGACAGAUAGGGAGGGCGGGCCCCACCUGGGAGAGAAUCCAACUCUGGUCCCAGCGAGUCAUUCAAAAAACUUCACUGCCUUCAAGUCUAGAAAAGAGCCAUAUGGUGAACUAUUCACGGCUCUGAAAAAUGAUGACAUUGACAUGAUUGGGCUCUAUGGAGAGAGGGGUUAUGGUAAAACAUUCUUGGCCUCAGAAAUAUGCAGGGCUGCGAUGCACUCGAAGCUCUUUGAUGUGGUUAUAUUUUACAUGCUCUCCACUAAUUAUACAAGCGUCUCAUUAAUUCAAGAUAAGAUUGCACACAGUUUAGGCUUAAUCUUAGAUGAAGACGAACGCCAUAGAGCUGCAACGCUCUCCAAGAGGUUGAAUAAUGGUGACAAAUUUCUUAUAGUCCUGGAUGAUAUUGUAGAAGAGCUUAAUCUCGAAGACAUAGGGAUUCCCCUUGGUAAAAAUAGCAAGGUUAUUUUGAUUGCUUCGAAAAAUAAUUUACGUGCCUUGGUGGGUUGUCAAAAAGUGAUCUCUCUGUCACUUUUGACCCAAGAGGAAGCUUGGAUGCUAUUCCAAAGACAUGUGGGCACAUUAGAAGAUGAAGUUUUGGCACAAGAGAUUGUAAAAAGAUGUCGAAGAUCACCCAUUACAAUUACAAUCGUGGCUGAAUCUUUGAAGGGCAGGUCUGCAGAUAUGUGGAAGGAAGCAUGGGAAGCAUCUAGAGGUUAUGAUGGCCUAGCAAUGGUUGACAAAUGUGUGCGAUUAAGUAUUUCAAAAUUGCGUUAUGACGCGAGCUCACUUUUCGUAUUAUGUGCUUUCUUUCCAGAAAAUUCAAACAUCACUCUCGAACUUUUGAUCAGAUGCGCAUUUGCAUCGGGCAUAUUUGAGAAUGUUCAGUCCUAUGAAAGAACUAGAAGCAAAGUAGGUGCCGUCAUUGAUGAACUCCUGAACUCUUGUCUGUUAUUGCUAGCUGAAGAAGAGCAAUAUUUUCACGUACGCGACUUGGUGCGUCAAGCAGCUUUGGGAGGAACGAAAACUCGACUAAUUAGAGGGCCUGGAGAGUAUUUAAUGGCCACAAUAACAAGAAAGGUCGAUGAUACAAAAAGAUUAUAUUGCCAUGAUAUAACUAAAUACCCAAAUCAGUUAAUGUGCCCUGAACUUGAGAUUCUAUUUGUUUCUGAUGAUAGAGGGUGCUCACCAGAAUUUUCAGAUAUUGUUUUCAAAGUCACUACAGAGCUGAGGGUGUUGGCCAUUACAAAUGCAUGUACAUUGAGAACACCAUAUCUUUGGUUGCCCCAAUCAAUUGAAGGGUUGAAAAAUCUUCGAGCUCUUUGCUUGAGAGGAUGGAACUUGGGCAAUAUCUCUAUCUUGGGAAACUUGGAGAUGCUUAACACUGUUGAGCUACUAUAUUGCACAAUAGAGGAGCUACCCAAAGAAUUAUGGAGACUAAGGGAAUUAAGGUUACUUGAAGUAUCAGGGUGCAGCAUAGGAGGAGGUGAUCCUGUCGAGGUGGUAGCCAGAUGUUUUCAACUAGAGGAGUUGUAUUUUGUUGGAAACGAUCUUCAAGAAAGUGUUUUAAGGGAUCGUACCCUUGUUGAUCUAUUGUACCAAAUUAACUUCUCUAACGUAUUGCAAAGGUAUCAUCUAGAAAUUGGAAGUUCCAUAAAUACUUUGAAGAAAGAUUUGAAGUCAAAAUUCUUGUCUUUAAAUAAUGUCAGGAUAGAGAAUCUCGCGCGGAAAGUGGAGGUUCUUUUCUUAGAAAAAAUAUUGACAAAUCAUAAAAAUAUCAUUCCUGACAUGAUUUUAGGAGGAGAAUGCAUGAAUGAGUUAAUUGAAUUCCUACUUCGUGAUUCUGACAAAAUUGAAUGCUUGGUUGACACCACAAACCGUCAGUCUUAUCAAGCUAGAAGUGUCUUCUUCAAAUUGCAAAAGUUGAAUGUCGAGAACAUGAAGUGCUUGGAAGCCUUAUGCCAUGGUCCACCUCCUUCUGGCCUUUUUGAGAAACUGGAGGAGCUAUUUAUAAUGGGGUGUAGCCAGCUACAUCGCAUAGUCUCAGUUGGCAAGCUGAACUUGUGUAGUCUCAAGUUCUUACAAUUGGAGGAAUGUCCAAAGCUGACCUUCGUCUUCACACAUUCUACAGCUCAAACUAUGGUACUAUUGGAAGUGUUGAAAGUAAGAGAUUGCGUUGCAUUGGAACAUAUAAUAAAAUAUGAGGAGGAAGAGGAUGACAUUAUUUCUGUAGGGCCUUUAUUCCCAAAAUUGAAACAAGUCCUUGUUGAGAGAUGUGAUCAUCUGGGAUGUUUAAUUCCGGCAUCUUUUGCUGGUGGCCUCUUGCAACUUGAGACUCUUGAGAUAAAAGAUGCUUCUGGUUUGGAAUAUGUUUUUGGCAAAUACAAUCAUGGAGAAGAUCAGAAUCUGAACCAAAGCAUUGAUCUUCCGGUGCUGAAAGUACUCAAGCUUACUAAUUUGCCAAAAAAUUUCGCAUUGCCCUGCAAAAUUAUCAUGUAACAUGGCCACCCUUUGACGGACAACAUAUCAGUGGAUGUCCAGAUUUGAGCGGCAUGCCUUCGUUUGAUUUAGAAGUAAGAGAGCAAGGUGACAAUGAAGCUACAAAGAAGGAGUUGGAACUUCCAGCACAACUUAGCAGCCAGAUGAUUGAACAAACUGUAAAAGACAGUCAUGUUGAGGAAUGCAAAAUGAAAGGCUUUUCUCAAACGCUCAAACAUGCCAUUAAUAUGGAAUCAGAUUCAGAGCCACA